AGAGAGAGAGAGAGAGAGAGAGAGGGAGGGAGAGAGAAGCAAUUUUCGAGCUUGGAUCGCGAUUGGUUCGGGUUUUAAGGUGAAUUUGGGGAAAGAUCCAAGA